rnacentral:lncRNA from 1 species
GAGUAGUGCCCGUGUUCCUGUAAAGACUGACACACACGAUGUGCAAUGACAAUAUAACAGGUCAGAAGUAGUUGUGAGUAUAUUUUAAAUACAUUGCUUUAAGGUCGUUCAAAGGAAGUUUAGGUAAACUUUCACACGGAAACUGCAAUCUUAAUUUGUGUGUAUGUCCUUGUUUUAGAAUCAGUGUUUGUGAUCUUUCUUGCCCAGUUGUUCACAUUGUACAGAUUCCUAAGAUGCACAGAACCAGAGAGCAUUGAAAUGCUUACUUCUUUUUGUCUGCUUACGUUUGUUCUUUUUGCUCUGAAAGGAAAGACCCAUGGUGGAGAGGAAUACAACUGUGCUGACAUCAGGUUCCUCAAUCAGCAUGACGAUGUUAUCUAUCUCAACGUCAACGAUUAUAUCAACAUUACUUUUGCUAUAGACUGGGUUAACUGUUCAUUUCCUACGAGCGGACGGUUUCUCAAGUAGUAGCUAAGACCACCGAGCAGCCAGAAGACAAAUGCAAAAUACUCCUGAUCAAAGGCACCUGCAAUGUCUCGGAUACCUCACCUGUGCUUCUGUAUGACCUCCGAUGGCCCAAUCACAUUCUACAAGAGAAUCACCAAGCCUGUCAACAUGACAUAUGAGUGGCUAUGGUACCAUGGAGAUGAAGCCAAAGUAAAAAGCUGUAACUGUUCACAUUCUUGAUGUGCCGCUUGAAGUGGUGACAUGUUGCGAUACUGAGGACGACUCGCCCCGUCCUGGCGUUGUUGUUGCUGUUGUUGUGGGUACUUGCUGUGUUCUUGCUGUCGUCGCCUUAGUCAUCAUUCUUUUCAUUCGUAAAAAGGUUAUGAGAACCAAGAACCCGUCCCCUCAAAAAGAGAAGACGACUCAGCUUUCUCGAGUGUCUCCACCACAGAACGAAAAUGGAAAAAUGUCUGUUCACUUGGCACAGUACGAAGAUGUGUGCGAUGCAACACAUUCUCAGAAUAAUGCAGGAAGCCGUGUGACCUAUAGUGCACCCACAGCCGAUCAGACUCAGUCGGAGACACACAUUUACUCAAAUGUUGGAGAGGAGUGCCAGGAGGAACUUUAUACUGAAUUAACGAUUUGAAUUCACGCGUUGAAUACAUUUUACUCAAAGGGAGGAGAGGAGUUUGGAACUUAUCUUUCGUGUUUAGUAUGUGUCAUUAAAACAGCCAUACAGAAUUGCAAGGCCUUCACGAAAGGUUUUUGUUACACUUAUCUUGUACCUCUCUUCUGCUCAAUGUUUUGUGAGGCUUAAUUUAAUUUUAAAAAGCAGUAACAUUCUAUGGUAUGUAUUGUAUGAAACAAAAUAAAUGUAAAAAAAGCAGUAACAUUCUUCAUCAAGACGAAUGGAUUACUUCUCAAAUUAAAGUUCAAUGUUUUAUUAUUCUACUCCCUAGUUUUUAAAUGGUAGCCUGGGGUGUGGCACAACUCUGUUGCUAGGUUACCGGAAGCUUUUCGCUGUCACUGUAUACACAGGGAAAGUGAUGAUGGUCAGAUGCUGUGGACAACACUCAUAAAAUGCAGCAGUCAGACAGGAGACACACUUGUGUAAAUGGCUUUUCUGUACAGAGAAAUUCAGAAUAUAGACCUCACGUGCACACGCGCACACACGCACACACAGGUACAUGCAAGCUCUCUCUUUCUCUCUCUUUCACACAAUGUGUUUUGUUCAGUGUAAUUAGAUAGUCUUCUACGUCUAGGCCUGGAGCCUCGCAAU